rnacentral:misc_RNA from 1 species
GUUAUCAAAGCUCGUGAAUAUCGCACGAAUUCGUAGUGGUUAGUUCAAACGAUUUUCAAAUACUCAAGUGUAUACGUUGGUGAGAUGACCGAUGAUAAAUUAGUGCGACUCGCAACAGAGAGAUCUAUAUACGUACAUAUAAUACAUAUAUCGAGGAAUUGGCGAACACUAAUAUCGAUUCACCUUUCGUGUACAGCAAAGGAAACUACUAACCACAGCGGAAAUAAAAUUAAAAAGUUUGCCGAUUUAUCCAUUUCAAAAUAUAAUAUCGAAGCUUCUUCUAGAAUCGAGGAAUUGAAAUGAUGAAAAUAUACAUAACUUUUAGUUACAUAGAGGAAAUAGAGGCAAUAAUUUGCAAGGCUCUCGUGCGCAUCGGUACGCCGACGCGCCGCCUUUCGCGUAAUGCAGCCUUACAAUCCCGUCGACGCAUCAACAAACCAAUUUGCUACAGUGUUAAGAGAAAGCGAGUGCACUGGAAGAAAAAGCAAAUCACGUUAAGUAGCAAAAAAUCUUAUUGCGAGCUUAAAUCUGGGACGACUCUAUCUUAUACUGCUUGGACAACUACAUAUAUACCUACUAAUUUCUUGUUACAAUAUCCAUCAGCGAAAUGAUACGCUGGUUCGUGACACUGGUUUAAAUAAAAAAACGUCACAUUUGACGAAUUAUAUUCGUCAACGAAAAAAAGAAAGAUGGAAUUUUUCUAUGUUUCAUUUUCGGAAACGAUAUCAAACGUGGCCGCAUUAUUCGAAUCAAUCCGAAUUAUAUCGAGAGCUGUUUACAAUCUUUAAUCUUUCUCACUCUGAAGUUAACGAACUGAAAUUCAUUCGAAAUUUAGCGUUGACAUUUGGAUUGCACAUUAGCAACGCGUGUAUUCGCGCGUAUCGCGAUUGUUUCUUCCGUAAUAUAAUCGAUAUUUUCAUUUGAAUAAGAACAUCCACUCUGAACGUAACGUUAGACGGGGUGCGACAAUAACGUAUUUCGGAUUUCGUUUAACUAUUGUUUUUGGAGUCUGGUGGCCUGAGAUGGGUCGUAGUUGGAGUCUUUCGAUAGCAUUGAAGAGUUUAUAAAAAACAAACAACGAAUCUGUGACAGCUACACGGAGAACUUUUUGUAUUUACUUCGCGGUCGGCAACGAAAUGCCGCUAUUCCGAGGAGAAAAGCCAUGCUACAUUUGGUGCUAUAUUUGUUGAAAUUUUUGGGUUGAAAAUUUCUGGGCCACGGGUUCAGCGCCGAAAAGAAAACCACCUAAGAAACGGUACGGCAUUCGGACGCCGUGAUAGUACCGUUGGAAAUGAUACGCCCGAUCAUGAAAAACUUGAGACAUCGAUCACAAAUAUGUAUGGCGAGUGAAAGCCUUGGCGAUAUCAUUCCAAAAUUGCGUGGAAACAGACUGUAUUCCGUGUACCUUCAGAUCACAUAAUAAAAUGUCGAAUCGCAUUUACCAGGCCUUUUCCGUUGAUAUUAAAAAUCCGGCAGGCUUUUUUGCCGCACUGUCUAUUAUCUUCUUCCGCGAUAAUCUAUCGCUAACGCUGCGUCUUUUUUUUUAUGAUCAGCGAUAAAUUUUUCAGGAAAACAAAUAAAUGAUAAAUGCCGACGAACGUCGCGUGUGA